GGCGGGCGGUGUCGGUCAGGCCGCCGUGUCCUGCAGCCUGGCGGUGAUGGGCGCCUGGUGGCUCCGGGAGAGCGCCAGGAUCCCCAGAGGUGCUGAUGCUGGGACUUCCCAGGGACGUGCACUUCUCCCAGGCAGUACAAACACCCGUGUGCCCCUCAGAAAAAUGCUUCAGGACACCCAGACUUUGGGAAUGUGGGACAUCAGAAAGAAGAAAGGACUUGCCACCUGCCUGCAGAGCCUGCAAACCCCAGCACGGGCUCUUCCUUCCAGCAGAAGCAUCCCUGGAUGUCAGUAAUUCCAGCAGGUUUUUAACACCAGUGGACUUCACUGGAGAGAUGCACAUGGCUGGGUGAGAGCCUGAGCCCUCAACUAUCAGCUCUAGCUGAUGACUACAACCAGGGCUCCAUGACACUGGAGAGCUGAAUCCAUCCCAGAUCCUGGACUGACAAGACAAUAAUAAAAUGUUAAGGGUUUAUCAAAACUGCAGAGGCAAUUUAAAGCAAAUUCUUUGUCAGCAGAA